AGAGAAAACUGAAUUGGCCCUUCUGGUUAAAAUUGAGUUUGACUAUUGGGAAUGAUAGACAGUAAAUCUAGAAAGGAAACUUGGGAUAUAUUUCAAGUCAGACAGUAGAAAUUGGAUUUUAUCUGGUGGUUAAUGUCCUCCCAAUUUCUUGUUGAAGAUGUCUAGCUAGGGUGUGCAGAAUACACUAAAGAGAUGAAAGGCUGCAGAUGAGGGGUUAGCUAAGUGGCUACGACAGCAAUCCAGGAUAGAAAGGCACUCACAAAGGCCUGGUCUUUAGUGGUAUCAACUGCUGACUCCUUCGAAAGACCAUCAAAACAAUCCAUUGAUAAAGCAAAGCCUCUGCAGGGAUCUUCAUGAAGGUCUGUGUGGCUGGCCAGUCGGGCUUCAGCUCCUCUCUUUUGGAUUUUGUGGCCUGAAUGCCCACAAGGAAAAGAUCAAGACUGGAGUGCAGUGGCAGAAUUAUGGCUCAUUGC